GAUGAACGUUGGCGGUGUGCCUAAUACAUGCAAGUCGGACGGAGUUUGUAGCAAUACUGGCUCAGUGGCGAACGGGUGAGUAACGCGUUGGUGAUCUGCCUUGAAGUGUGGAAUAACGUUUCGAAAGGAACGCUAAUACCGCAUGUGCUCUCGAUUUUCAGAAAGUUGAGAGUAAAGGAUUUAUUCGCUUCAAGAGGAGCCUGCGUCCCAUCAGCUGGUUGGUAGGGUAACGGCCUACCAAGGCUGUGACGGGUAGGGGACCUGAGAGGGUGGCCCCCCACAAUGGAACUGAAACACGGUCCAUACACCUACGGGUGGCAGCAGUAGGGAAUAUUAGGAAUGGACGAAAGUCUGAUCUAGCGACACCGCGUGUGCGAUGAAGGCCUUCGGGUUGUAAAGCACUUUUUGGAAGGAAUAGGAAGGAAGGUACUUCCAGAAUAAGUCUCGGCUAACUACGUGCCAGCAGCCGCCGCAGUAA
rnacentral:rRNA from 1 species